AGGUUGAAGGUUAGGUAACACUGACUGGAGGACCGAACCCACUCCCGUUGAAAAGGUAGGGGAUGACUUGUGGAUCGGAGUGAAAGGCUAAUCAAGCUCGGAGAUAGCUGGUUCUCCUCGAAAGCUAUUUAGGUAGCGCCUCAUGUAUCACUCUGGGGGGUAGAGCACUGUUUCGGCUAGGGGGUCAUCCCGACUUACCAAACCGAUGCAAACUCCGAAUACCCAGAAGUGCCGAGCAUGGGAGACACACGGCGGGUGCUAACGUCCGUCGUGAAAAGGGAAACAACCCAGACCGCCAGCUAAGGUCCCAAAGUUGUGGUUAAGUGGUAAACGAUGUGGGAAGGCUUAGACAGCUAGGAGGUUGGCUUAGAAGCAGCCAUCCUUUAAAGAAAGCGUAAUAGCUCACUAGUCGAGUCGGCCUGCGCGGAAGAUGUAACGGGGCUCAAACCACACACCGAAGCUGCGGGUGUCACGUAAGUGACGCGGUAGAGGAGCGUUCUGUAAGCCUGUGAAGGUGAGUUGAGAAGCUUGCUGGAGGUAUCAGAAGUGCGAAUGCUGACAUGAGUAACGACAAUGGGUGUGAAAAACACCCACGCCGAAAGACCAAGGG
rnacentral:rRNA from 1 species